AUAAAGCGUGCUAUUUUCUGUAGGUAGCAAUAACUGCUAGUAAGAACUAAAAUUAGCUGCACCAUGGAUGCCUGGUCUUUGACUGGAAAUUCUAGAUGCUUUGUGCUGUAAUACAGAGAUAUUUCUACUGUCACCAUGGUUUCUAAGCUCAUCAGAGAAACUGUGUGAGGUUGUUGCUAGCUUGGAGAAGUGGUUUAUCUAGUCCAAGGCAACAAAGAGCUAAAUAUUCACAAAGUUGUACGAAUACCUUCCUCAGGAUCUGGGAAUGCAGGGAAGGGAGCUGAACAAUGGCAGAUGUUGUCCUCCCUGUGUCAGUUAGGACAAUUAUUGACGAUCAACAUCCAGUCACAAAUGAAUGCCGUGAUAAAUGGAAUCAAGUAACUUUCCUGCUUGACAACUGGGUAUUUGUGAUCCCUGUCUGGGCUGCAGAGUCUGUCUGAAGAGACGAGAAGUUGCGGUGAAGUCCAGCCCAGGAGCAGCUUGAGGUACUGUCUCGUUCUAAGACACCAAGGAAAAGGUUUGCUUGUAGGUGUAUUUGGAAUAUAACUACACAAGAACGCUAAGCUAUGAGAAAUACCCUAAAAAUGAGGUGGCCUUAUUUUUAAUGAAGAUUUGAUUGUACAUUUUGCAUGACUUAGUUUGACAUUGUUUUAUCCUGGCAGAUGGUAAAUGUGUUUCAGAGUGAUUUUCCAGAACUUCUGAGAAAUUUGAGUGUCAAUUUUGCGGUCAAGCCAGCAUUAUAAGAAGGCUUAAUGCCUCCCUUUGACUGGAGGAGUUCAGAUCAUUUUUCAGGUUGUCAGAGGCUUACUAUAUGUACCCUCCCCUCUGCUUAACACAUCUCCCCUACUUCCCGUAAAGGUUGGAGGUGACUUUGGCAUUGUACGCCCUCAAUCUUUCUUGUUAGUGCCACUUCAUUUUGCAAAAUAUAAUUGAACUUUCACUGGAUAUGGAACUGGAGCCUGCCAGAGGGUCGUAGAGAUAAUUCCACCAUUCAGAUGAGUAAUCUGACCACCAGGUAAAGCAUCUUUCUCAUGUGGUCUGUUUCAGUCUUCAAGUCUCUUGGAAAAAAGCAUCAGCCUCAAUCAAAAGAACCAACAGAAGCACAGUCCAGGGUCCUCUACUGUCUUAGAGCUCUUGCUCAAGUAAUGUAAGACUCAAAUACCAAUUUACUUUCUGCCUAAAUCAUGAAGAAAUGUAACCUAAGUUUCUGCUGCUUUGGAGAGUUCUUGAAAGCCUGAUCCAUGUGUGAAAGGGGACACCACUUUCACCAGAUUGAGACAACCUUGGAUAAGAAGCUUGGAUUUUAACUAGAUCCUGAAGAUGAAAUGAUAAUACCCUCAUCUUUAAGAUCUCAGCUCAGACUACUCACUGUUUGCCUGUCCUGAGGUGAGACGAUAUGACUUCAUUCUGGUGAGAAGAGGUCUGAGAGAUCUCCCUCUGAUUUCUGUGCCUUUGAAGUUUGACAGAAAUGAGUCAAGGUAUACACUGCUCAGAAGAAUGAGGAAAGGUAUAUAUUAUGCAGCAGGAAGAAAGUCCAGUGUCUAGAUUCCUAUCUGCAAAGAGGAUUGAAGAGGAAGGCAACCAGCAGCUCAUUUCCCUCAUGUCCCUAAUUUUGGCAAAGUCUCCUCACCAAAGUGGGAAGUAGCAGGCUGCCCACCUCAUCUUGACGCUUUUACUCCGCUGCUUCUGUGCAGGAGAGUGAAGAAAGUGAUUGCCUGCAGACCGGCUGAAUGAAAGGGUUGCCUCUGAAGGGUGACAAGGCUGCCCACGUGCAGCUAGCCUUUGGCAGAGCCUCCUGUUACGCAGCACCUUGUGCAUCUUGCUCUGCAGCGAAUUCCCUGCUUUCUUCUCUCAGCAGACCUCUUGUUACCUACUGUUCUGAUUAGUCAUAGCUUCACCCUGAAGUCUUUUUAUAAUUCAUUCCAACAUAAUACGCCUAGGAGAUUAAACAUGGCAGAUUCUAGAUACAUUUGGUAGAAUCUGGUGGGUGCCCACAUCUGUUUUGUAUCGUCAUCCUGUACCAAUGUUUUCCACAGUGUGGGCCUGAUACUCGGUGUGGAAAUCCUGUGUGGGAAACUUGUAGAAUGAAACGAUCUUUCAGGGAAUGACGAGUUUUCAUUGUUCUUCACAGAAAUCAUAAAUGUUCACCUGUUUUGGAGAUCAGGCUACUUUUCUGAGAUCCUGUGCAAAUAUAAGCAUCAGAAAAUUUUGAAAGUUGUGGCUUUUAGAUGUUAUACUCUUUUAUUUCCUAGUUAGGAGAGGGAGCGCUAGGAAUAGACUAGAGCAAAGAACUCAGCAUAUCAUUCCUUCUCCACAUGUCAAUCCAACAACUGCGCAGUACCUUUUAAGGCCCAGCCUACAGUGAGUUUCUAUAAAACAACUUCUCAGGUAAGAGCGACACAAUACAUAAGCAGUGGAAGUGCUGAUGGCACAUCUGUGCAGAAGCUUUCCAUGCAACGUUUUGGUUUCCCAGAAAUGAUACAAGGAGAGUAAGGAGCAGAAAAGAAAACCUUAAGUAAAAAUCAGCACAUGAUUUGCACGGUUUAGCAAAACGUGGCUCCUGUCACAGGCUGGCUGACUGCAGCUUAAAAUAACUUAUUUAAGAAUCAGAGGCAU